rnacentral:lncRNA from 1 species
UCCAUCAGUACAUAUAUAUUCUGGAGAAGUACUGUCAGUGGGCAGUUAUCUCAAUCUAGGCUUGAGUUGAAGGAGGAAAGUGAGGGUAAAAUCACAGAAGAAUGUUUUAGGUACACUCUGACAUAGCCUAGGGCCGCAACAAAAAGGCACAAUUCCACUAUUUACAAUAAUGGAAUAGAAGACAUUGGACUUCAUAAGAAUACCAUGAGAGAGUCUGUUUUUUGUAACCGAGAGAACGUAAUCCUGAAAAGGAAGGAAUCAGCAGCCAGUUACUGUGCCUGAGGAAGUUCAAGGACACAAUCAGCUUGAUUAUCCCCCAGCUCUGCAGGUUCCAUCAACAUACAUUUGUGGAAUAUUCAGCGCAUCUACUGUGAGGAAGGCAAUUUUCUGGUAUCCAUGUACACCAUUAAAAGAUGACACUUCAUGGGUUAGAAACAGCCUGACUUCUGACUCCUGAUUCAGGAAAGUGAGAAAAAAUUGAGGUAAUUUCUACCACUUCCUUCUCACUGAAACCAAGC